rnacentral:rRNA from 1 species
UACGUAGGUCCCGAGCGUUGUCCGGAUUUAUUGGGUGUAAAGCGAGCGCAGGUGGUUUAAUAAGUCUGAUGUAAAAGGCAGUGGCUCAACCAUUGUGUGCAUUGGAAACUGUUAGACUUGAGUGCAGUAGAGGAGAGUGGAAUUCCAUGUGUAGCGGUGAAAUGCGUAGAUAUAUGGAGGAACACCGGUGGCGAAAGCGGCUCUCUGGACUGUAACUGACACUGAGGCUCGAAAGCGUGGGUAGCAAACAGG